CAUAUCCACAAUUUUUUUGCCUCCAUUUUCGGGAAUGUUUUUCAUAACUCGCGCAGCCGUCGUUCCGUGCCAUCUCGUCGUCGCGGCUUUUUCGCAUUGUUUUAUUUUUCGUCCGUCAUCGUUUUUCUUGAAGAAGAGUCCGUGGAAGCCGUGGCCACCUGCUAGCAAUAAGCCUUGUCCUCCCAAUAAACGCUCGUGCUCAUCGAAUGUCCGUGAAUUUCAAUCGGAGCUGCUGGUCGUUGUUCCCCAUUAGCCAAAAGAAAUAAACAAUUUGCCUCCAUUCUUCCGGCGAGACACAAUCCGGUCAUGAGGAGACGAACCAGAAAUAGAACCGAGAAAACGGAACGACCGGAUCGGAAGCAGCCCGAGAUACGGAAGGAACCGAAAAAAAGGAUUAAGUGCCAGUCAGUUCUCCCACCAAAACUCCCGGCCGGUAAAACCAUCAAGGUGAAAGGUGGAAGUAUGGUCAGUGGUGGAAGGUUGGCAAAGUCCUCUGCUUGGGAAGUAUACUAUCAAUCGGGGAAACCAGAGAGCAAGGAACACAACCUGCUAGAAAUUAGGUAACGUUUAAUGUUGCCGCUGGGAUCGGUCGACUUCGGAACUUCGGAAGGGAAGAGAGCGGAGGAAAUGCCCACGUUGCAGCAGCAGAAAAUGUCGUCUACCAUCUACGGCAAAUAGAGAGCCCUAAUCGGCACGACUGGUUUAAUUCCGCCGGAUGCGGUGCAACAGCGAUGAACGUCCAGGGCUGAGACAACACCGGACACUCUCUAUGGGCAUCUGCUCUAUCUACGUCUUCGGACAAUUUGUGCAGCUGAAGCCGGGGGUGACAGAAGAGAAUUUCAUUUGUCAGGAUACUUCAAAAUUUACGGAGCCGGGAACCCAGCUCAAGUGUCCGCAGCCAAAAAGUAUCAACCCGCGAGGAUCUACCCGAAGACAGCGAUGGCAGGUUGCUGGCGAAAGUUCAGAAUAGGAAUGCGCCGAUCUUUGUUUAUUGUAGGUGGCAUUUAUGAUCAAAAAUAAAUAAAUACAAAAUUUCAAA